CAAGUCUGCCAACAAGUGAUGGGUGACCUACCUGUAGAAAGGGCAAGACCUGCUGCGCCGUUCCAAUUCAUAUCAGUCUACCUGUUCGGACCUUACCUGGUCAGAGAUGACAUCAAAAGAAGAGUCUCCAUGAAAGUCUGGGGAGUCGUCUUCUGCUGCAUGGCAAGCCGGGCUCUGCAUAUCGACCUUGUCAAUAGCCUUUCAACAGAAAGCUUCCUCAUGGCCUACCAAAGGUUCACCGCCAUCAGAGGGCACCCCACCAAGGUCUGGUCAGACCCUGGAACCAACUUUGUUGGUGCAAAGUCUCUGCUGGAAGACCUUUACAGUUUCCUGGGUAGCCAAUACAUGCCAAACCUGGAAGAGUAUGCUGUGAAGAAUGGGACAAGCUGGACAUGGAAAGUGCUCCCUGCCGAUUCACCGCAUCGAAAUGGAGCUGCAGAAGCUGCCGUAAAGAUCACAAAGAGAGCCCUUCAAAGUCUGAGCACCCAGGCAAACCUCACCUUCAGCGAGUUCCUCACAGCCCUCCAGAUGGCAGCAAACCUGGCAAAUGAGCGGCCUAUUGAUGCAAGAGUGCAGAGUCGGGAGGACCGCGUUCAAUACGUGACGCCAAACUCUCUCCUCCUAGGUCGAGCAUCGCAGACUGGUGACCUCAAGUCCUUUGACUUCCAGAACUACCCCUACAAGCGGCUCCGAGAGAUCCAAACCCAGGUCAACGAGUUCUGGAAAGCUUGGUCCCAGCUCGCAGGCCCCAACCUGUUCGUCUGGUCCAAGUGGCACACCGCAGAAAGAAAUGUUUCUGUUGGUGACAUUGUUUGGCUCUGCGAUCAGAAUGCCUUGCGGGGGCAAUUUAGACUUGGUCGAGUCGUCACCGUAUCCUCUGACCCAAAGGGCAUCGUUAGAGAUGCUGAAGUUCUUGUCACCACAGGCAGCUGUGUCUCAGUUCACCCUCAGCAACCAGCAGUCCACACCUCUGGUGACCGGGAAGAGUUAAGCAACUGUGUGGUACUGCGCAGAGAUGUUAGGCGGCUCAUAGUUUUAUUGCCUGUUGAGGAGCAGUGCCCCUAAUGGUGAUGUAGUUUGCUUUUUGUGUGCGACCUUCCUGUCUAGGCACAGGAAGCUCGAGUGGGAGGUGUCGCGUCAGACUAGGUCUGCAGCGGUUUGUUUAAAUCCACAGGGAAAAUGCACGGGAAAAAUUAAAAACAGAAAAAUUAAAUAGAAAAAAUAGGUGGUGUGUUAGCCGCGGUAAAUGAGAGUUUAUUAAGAUUAAGAGAAGUGCGAGUCAACUAAUGAGUGUCAGCUGUCCGCGGUUCUACUGAUUUGGUUGUGCUGCAUUCAGCUCACAGGUGCUUAUUUAUCUGGUUGGCGUUUAGUUGGGGAGACACACUGGUGAGAGUAACACGGAAAUUAAACUGUGCUUGCUCUCAGUUUGGAAGAAGUGCUGUGCAGGAACGUAACGCUGAAAAUUGGAGAGGCUGCCGGUUUUUUACCUAAGGACUAAGGGCUAACCAUUGCAAACCUUUGGACUUGUGCUCUAUAUUCUAAAAAAAAAGAAAAAAAAAGAGAAAAGACCAAAAACGGAAACAACUUUUGUCUGUCCAGUCCUUGAGUGAAACCCAGUGCCUGCAGAACUCCUUCAGUGUAACAUCCUUUUCGAGUUGGGGAAAAACACAGUGCUUAAAACCAACCAAACAAAACUGAAAACUCACCAAAAAACAAAACAAAACCGUACAACUUGACAGGGUUCCAGAUUGUCACCCUCCAUCUCCGGGGCUAGGGACACUGGACCCACCAACGUUCGCACUAACAAAACCUCUUUUGGUCGUUUGUUUGGCUGUAACAGCUUGCGUUUCAACAUAAAACAGUCAUUCUUUAUGUGACCUGUUUGGCCUUUCUGUCUAUAGGCCUCAGGCCCUAGUUUGUAGUCACGAAGCACAGCUGUCUUAAUACUUUCAUAACAUAAACUCUCUUCUAGAGAAAGUGCAGCUAAAAUUUCCUGGGCCUUACCUGUCAGUUUACACUGAAGCAGUAUCGACCAGACAUCUUUUGGCCAUUUCAGUGAGGUGGCAACUCGCUCAAACGCAGUAAAAUAGGCAUCUACUUCCGCCUCACGAAAUUGAGGUACCAAAACAACAUUUCUGCUCACCUCAAAACCUCUCGUAGGCGCGGAGGGAUCAGAAUGUAUGGACCUAUGACCAGGUG
ensembl:lncRNA